UCAGCAGCCGCGGUAAUACGUAGGUGGCGAGCGUUGUCCGGAAUUAUUGGGCGUAAAGGGCGCGUAGGCGGUUACUUAAGUCAGGUGUGAAAGCCCCCGGCUCAACUGGGGAGCGUCAUUUGAUACUGGGUGACUAGAGUGCAGGAGAGGAAAGUGGAAUUCCAUGUGUAGCGGUGAAAUGCGUAGAUAUAUGGAGGAACACCAGUGGCGAAGGCGGCUUUCUGGACUGCAACUGACGCUGAGGCGCGAAAGCUGGGGGAGCGAACGGGAUUAGAUACCCCGGUAGUCCCAGCCGUAAACGAUGGAUGCUAGGUGUGGGGGGUAUCGACCCCUUCCGUGCCGCAGUCAACACAAUAAGCAUCCCGCCUGGGGAGUACGGCCGCAAGGUUGAAACUCAAAGGAAUUGACGGGGGCCCGCACAAGC
rnacentral:rRNA from 1 species